rnacentral:rRNA from 1 species
GACAGAGGGUGCAACCGUUGUUCGGAAUUACUGGGCGUAAAGCGCAUGUAGGCGGCCUAGCAGGUCGGAUGUGAAAUCCCUCGGCUCAACCAAGGAAGUGCAUUCGAAACCGCAAGGCUGGAGUCCCGGAGAGGAUGGUGGAAUUCUCGGUGUAGAGGUGAAAUUCGUAGAUAUCGAGAGGAACACCGGCGGCGAAGGCGGCCAUCUGGACGAGGACUGACGCUGAGAUGCGAAAGCGUGGGGAGCAAACAGG